AAAUAGAAUACACUCUUGAUUUCAGCCUGGCUGGCUUUAAAUGAUCUGGUUUUUGAUAAAUGAUUGUUGCGGAACCGUUUCUUUAAAGCUUUAGAAAUGAGUUUAUUCGGCUGAUAAUGAGUUGAUUUUGAAACGGUUUUCUGGAAAUACGGUAUUGAGGUUGACUGUUGAAUUUUGGCUUGCCUUUGAAUUGAUUUUGGAUUUUGGGC
rnacentral:lncRNA from 1 species